CUUUCAAAAAUUACACACGUGGUCAACAACUUGACAAGGACACCCCAUGUAACAUUGUUUUCUGUUAGCCUGUUCUUCCAGCGAUUCUCCCCGAGACCUUCAAAGGUGCGCUCAUACAGCAAAAAAUGUUAAAAACUUCUCACCCAGUUUCGUGUCCUCCGAUGUUUGAAGAUCGUCUCCAGAUUCCAAGAUAUUCGUCUUAUGUUGCAGACAAUCUACAAAGCACGUGGGACUGUGAAAAUGAUAUUUCCAGUGUUGUUAAUGGGCUUUUUAGUUGUUGCUGUGUUUGGAGUAAUUCCUUUCUAAAAAUACACCAACUCCAACAUUGAAGCUCUGCAAGGAUGAUUUCAAAGAUUUACCCAGUGCAUUCAUCACACUCUUCAGUAUUUUUACCUUGGAGCACUGGUUUGAUUUACUUUAAGACAUUCAGAGAGUUCCAGAGCUAAACUGGAUUAUUCAUUAUGGUGUGGUUUGCAUUUGGAGCCUUGAUGACCUGUAUUUUUAUGACCCUUAUAAGUAUGUAUUCUUACAGUAUAUAAAGAGAUAUUGAUUGUUCUA
rnacentral:lncRNA from 1 species